rnacentral:rRNA from 1 species
GACGAACGCUGGCAGCGUGCCUAAUACAUGCAAGUUGAGCGAUGAAAAUUGGUGCUUGCACCAAUUCGAAGAGCAGCGAACGGGUGAGUAACGCGUGGGGAAUCUGCCUUUGAGCGGGGGACAACAUUUGGAAACGAAUGCUAAUACCGCAUAACAACUUUAAACAUAAGUUUUAAGUUUGAAAGAUGCAAUUGCAUCACUCAAAGAUGAUCCCGCGUUGUAUUAGCUAGUUGGUGAGGUAAAGGCUCACCAAGGCGAUGAUACAUAGCCGACCUGAGAGGGUGAUCGGCCACAUUGGGACUGAGACACGGCCCAAACUCCUACGGGAGGCAGCAGUAGGGAAUCUUCGGCAAUGGACGAAAGUCUGACCGAGCAACGCCGCGUGAGUGAAGAAGGUUUUCGGAUCGUAAAACUCUGUUGGUAGAGAAGAACGUUGGUGAGAGUGGAAAGCUCAUCAAGUGACGGUAACUACCCAGAAAGGGACGGCUAACUACGUG